rnacentral:rRNA from 1 species
GAUGAACGCUGGCGGCGUGCCUAAUACAUGCAAGUCGAGCGAACGGACGAGAAGCUUGCUUCUCUGAUGUUAGCGGCGGACGGGUGAGUAACACGUGGAUCACCUACCUAUAAGACUGGGAUAACUUCGGGAAACCGGAGCUAAUACCGGAUAAUAUUUUGAACCGCAUGGUUCAAUAGUGAAAGACGGUCUUGCUGUCACUUAUAGAUGGAUCCGCGCUGCAUUAGCUAGUUGGUAAGGUAACGGCUUACCAAGGCAACGAUGCAUAGCCGACCUGAGAGGGUGAUCGGCCACACGGGAGCUGAGACACGGUCCAGGCCCCUACGGGAGGCAGCAGUAGGGAAUGUUCCGCAAUGGGCGAAAGCCUGACAGAGCAAGGCCGCGUGAGUGAUGAAGAUCUUCGGAGCGUAAAACUCUGUUAUUAGGGAAGAACAGAUGUGUAAGUAACUGUGCAGAUCUUGACGGUACCUAGUCAGAAAGCCACGGCUAACUACGUG